AUGAACCACACCAUCUAAACCUUCUUCAGUCCCGCCAACACCAACCAUCCCUCCAACUAUGAGAUGCUGAAGGAAGAGCAUGAGGUGGAUGUCCUGGGGGCACCCCAUAACCCGGCUACCCCGACAUUCACCAUGAUCCACAUCCACAGAGAGACCUCUGUGCCUGACUAUGUAGUCUGGUCCCUGUUCAACACCCUCUUCGUGAACUCCUGCUGCCUGGGCUUCAGAGCAUUUGCCUACUCCGUGAAGUCUAGGGACAGGAAGAUGGUUGGUGAACUGACCGGGGCCCAGGCCUAUGCCUCCACUGCCAAGUGCCUGAACAUCUGGGCCCUGAUUUUGGGCAUCAUAAUGACCAUUCUUCUGAUCAUCACCCCAGUACUGAUCUUGCAAGUCUAUCAAUAGAUCAAGAGGACUCAUCCAGGCCAGGGGCUCUGCCCAUCACCUGUUUCCCAUGUACUCCACCUUCCAUUCCUCACCCAGCCCCCGAGCUGAGUCCUGUAUCAGCCUUUUGUCCUCACACACUUUUCUACAAUGGCAUUCAAUAAAGUGUACGUGUUCCUAGU